GAAAAAAAAUGUUCGAUUACAAGAAGAAGAUAUGUUACGUAAGGAAACUUAAGUGGGAAGGACAAAUCAAUUCAGGGUAUUGUAAUUGAUUUGCAUGCCGAGCUAUAGAAAUGCAAAUACUUUUUGAUGACACUGUGUUGAUAAAUGUUAAGUCGCUCAUAAUUGUACAGUGAUGCAAAGCCGUUUCGCGCUAUCAACAGCUCCCGAUAAGAUUUGGUUACGCUGCUUUCAUCAACAGGUUGUUUGUACUCGAGAUUGAAGAAAAAGUUGUGAUUCAUUGACAUUCAACAUGGCAAAUAUAAGGGUGACGUUUCGCGUGGAAUUCGGUGUCGACUUGGGUCGUACUCCACCUCCCCCUAUCACAUUAGUUAUUCCGGAGAAAUGUACGGUGUUCAAUCUCGUACAAAUAGCUCGAGAGAACAGCACAAUGCAUUCGUUCAAAUACUGCACGUAUCCAGACUUUGGCGCAGAAAUCACCACAAUCGAUGGAGUCGAAGAAGAUCCAACAAAUGGGACUUACUGGUUUUUCUACACUCCUUGGAAUAAGCUUAUAACAAAUGGGGUCUCGUGUUAUAAACUUCGACAGAAUACGACUUUGGUCGCAAGAUACGAGCACUGGACAAAAGCCGAUCAUUCAAAGCAAAAAGCCUUAGGACGACAGUUCAUGAAUACUGGAAAAUUAGCUAAGAGCCAGAAAAAACGAAAAAAUGAUAAGAACAAUAACAUCAUUUACAACUUUGGAAACAAAAGCAAGUAAUGCACUGUCCCAAACCAAAAAUAUAAUGUUUGCCAAUUUAUUUCAAUGUGCUCAUAAACAAUACUGCAAAACAUUAAGUUUCAAAAACGCAAGUUAAUCCAUAUUAUAAUAUCAGUGGGAACAGCAUGUAUAUAUAUAUAUAAAUAUAGAUUGAUUAUUAUGAACGAACAUUAAAUCCUCAAUGCUUUUUUGUAAGUGAUAUAUCAUGACUAUAAUUUUAUCGAUGUGUUGAGGCUGUCUUUCAUGAAAGUAUAAAAAUAAAGAUUUAGACCACAUCA